rnacentral:rRNA from 1 species
AUUGAACGCUGGCGGCAGGCCUAACACAUGCAAGUCGAGCGGAGCGGCGGACGGGUGAGUAAUGCCUAGGAAUCUGCCUGGUAGUGGGGGAUAACGGACGGAAACGGUCGAUAAUACCGCAUACUAUCAGAUAAGCCUAGUUCGGAUUAGCUAGUUGGUGAGGUAAAGGCCUACCAAGGCGACGAUCCGGAACUGGUCUGAGAGGAUGAUUAGUCAGACUGAAACUGAGACACGGUCCAGACUCCUACGGUAGGCAGCAGUGGGGAAUAUUGGACAAUGGGCGAAAGCCUGAUCCAGCCAUGCCGCGUGUGUGAAGAAGGUCUUCGGAUUGUAAAGCACUUUAAGUUGGGAGGCGUUACCAACAGAAUAAGCACCGGCUAACUUCGUGCCAGCAGCCGCGGUAAUUC